rnacentral:lncRNA from 1 species
GCUGAGGAGAUCUUGACUCUCUUUUGUGGGGCACCACCUGUUACACCUAUUAUUGUUUUGUCGAUAAUUAAUUUUUUUGAAAGAUUGUGUCUUACUUGGAUGUUUUUUUUCAUGAUGUGUGUGGCAGAGAGAACAUAUAAACAGAGAUUUUUAUUUGCAAAACUCUUCAGCCAUAUUACUUCUGCCAGGAAAGCUAGGAAAUAUGAAAUACCUCAUUUCAGACUUAAGAAGGUGGAGAAUAUUAAAAUAUGGUUAUCACUGCGUUCCUAUCUAAAGAGACGGGGGCCACAGCGUUCAGUUGAUGUGGUUGUAUCCUCGGUUUUCCUACUGACACUUUCGAUUGCUUUCAUUUGUUGUGCUCAGGUUCUCCAAGGACAUAAAACUUUCCUGAAUGAUGCUUAUAACUGGGAGUUUUUGAUCUGGGAAACAGCUUUACUACUUUUUUUAUUGCGUCUGGCCUCACUGGGGUCUGAAACCAAUAAGAAAUACAGCAAUGUUUCAAUAUUACUUACAGAACAGAAUCGUAAUGGAGAAUUCUUCCUACAAGGCAAAAUAUAAGGAAUUAGUAAAAUUAAUUUAUAUCUUAAGAUGGAAAAAAAGCCAAAUAAGAAAGAACAGCUUACUCUAGUAAACAAUGUAUUAAAGCUGUCCACCAAGUUGUUGAAAGAGCUGGACACACCAUUUAGACUCUAUGGACUGACAAUGAAUCCCUUAAUCUACAAUAUCACAAGAGUAGUUAUCCUUUCUGCUGUCUCAGGUGUUAUAAGUGAUCUUCUAGGAUUUAAUAUAAGACUGUGGAAAAUUAAAUCAUAAGCUGAGUAAAUGCCUGGACUCUCCCCUGGCUGGUAUCAAAACUUACCUAUCAAGGAAAGUGAUGACUGCAGAAACCAGUGAGAUACCCACCUGCUUGUUCACAUGCACAGGUGCUCUCAGCUCUGCCAAAGCGAAUGAAUGGUGUUUCCGGAGGAGCAAGUCCUUUUCCAACUGGGUGUGCAUGCUAAAAACCUGUAUUUUCAUGCUUUUCAAACAACAUGAAUAGUCAGCUGACUAAAGACUGUGUGUGUUGUGGUAACACAAAGACAAUUUUGUAAGUUUGCGCUUCAGUACUGUGACAGUUAUGUUUACUGGACAUAGUCUUUUGGGCAACUAUGAUAGAUGCCCAAAGCAUGAAGCAAAUAUCUUUUAUUGGAAAUAUGCAAAUUCAAUACUUUUCCAUUAUAGUCUAUAGAACUGGAGAUUUCAUUUCUCUAUCAAAGAGAGAUCAAGCGAACUAUUUUAGGUUAAAUCCGAAUAAAAGAACUUUACUGGAGACUUUCAGUUUCUAGGUUUUCUUUGUUGUUGAAGGAAGAAAAUUAACUUUUAAACUGUGAGUUUCUGUUAAACUGUGGAGAAAUGUUUUGUUCGUUUACGAUUUUGGGUUAAUAACUGUAUAGUUGUUGGCAAACGAUGCAUGCAUACAAUAUGCCAUGUAAUUCAGCAUGAAAAAUUUAAGUAUAUGCCUACUCAUCCAUUUCCAUCAUACAACAUGGUUUCCACGUUCUAUGUGGAAGCCAUGGAAGCAUUGUUUCCAUAUAGAUCAUCUGAGUUGUGGUUCCUAACACAGUGCUAUGUGUCCUAUCACAAGCAUCAUUGAUAGUUUAUCAGUUGUGCAACUUAAUGUAUUAAACCCUCCGUACAUUU